rnacentral:lncRNA from 1 species
GGCUCCUUCCGUAUGGCGUACACUAACGACAGACCCCCCGGAAGUGGGGACACGGCUCUGUGACUCUGGAGCUGCUUCGAUAGUAAAGCAAGCGGGUAGACACCAUA